rnacentral:misc_RNA from 1 species
UAAAUAAAAAUCGAUGUGUUGCUUUUGUGACGCUUCGGAAUUGGGUCACCUUGAUCUCUGGGUUAAGAGGCCUAAAAUUGAUACCUUUCCGAGCAUCUUGGACGUAUGUAAAAUCUUUCAAGUGCCGGAUCUUUUACUAGGUAUGACCAUGCAGUGCGUGGAUCUUGUGCCUAUAAACGUGUAUUUCAUA